rnacentral:rRNA from 1 species
UGAACUGGCGGCAUGCUUUCACAUGCAAGUCGAACGGCAUCGGGGAAGUGCUUGCACUUCUGCCGGCGAGUGGCGAACGGGUGAGUAAUGCAUCGGAACGUACCGAGUAGUGGGGGAUAACUGUCCGAAAGGAUGGCUAAUACCGCAUACGCUUUGAGAAGGAAAGCGGGGGAUCUUCGGACCUCGCGCUAUUUGAGCGGCCGAUGUCUGAUUAGCUAGUUGGUGGGGUAAAGGCCUACCAAGGCGACGAUCAGUAGCGGGUCUGAGAGGAUGAUCCGCCACACUGGGACUGAGACACGGCCCAGACUCCUACGGGAGGCAGCAGUGGGGAAUUUUGGACAAUGGGGGGAACCCUGAUCCAGCCAUGCCGCGUGUCUGAAGAAGGCCUUCGGGUUGUAAAGGACUUUUGUACGGGAAGAAAGGCUUUAGGCUAAUACCCUGAAGUUAUGACGGUACCGUAAGAAUAAGCACCGGCUAACUACGUGCCAGCAGCCGCGGUAAU